rnacentral:rRNA from 1 species
UACGGAGGGGGCUAGCGUUUGUUCGGAAUUACUGGGCGUAAAGCGCACGUAGGCGGCUUUGUAAGUUAGAGGUGAAAGCCCAGGGCUUAACCCUGGAAUUGCCUUUAAGACUGCAUCGCUUGAAUUGUGGAGAGGUGAGUGGAAUUCCGAGUGUAGAGGUGAAAUUCGUAGAUAUUCGGAAGAACACCAGUGGCGAAGGCGACUCACUGGACACAUAUUGACGCUGAGGUGCGAAAGCGUGGGGAGCAAACAGG